rnacentral:rRNA from 1 species
AGGACGAACGCUGGCGGCGUGCUUAACACAUGCAAGUCGAGCGGUAAGGCCUUUCGGGGUACACGAGCGGCGAACGGGUGAGUAACACGUGGGUGAUCUGCCCUGCACUCUGGGAUAAGGCCUGGGGAAACUGGGUCUAAUACCGGAUAUGGCCUGCUCUCGCAGUGGGGGUGGGUGGAAAGAUUUAUCGGUGCAGGAUGGGCCCGCGGCCUAUCGAGCUUGGUUGGUGGGGUAAUGGCCUACCAAGGCGACGACGGGUAGCCGACCUGGAGAGGGUCGACCGGCCACACGUGGGACUGGAGACGACCGGCCCAGACCUCCGUACGGGAGCAGCGAGGUGGGAAUAUGACACGAAUGGGACAAAGCCUGAUGCAGCGACGCCGCGUGAAGGAUAGGAAGGUCCGUUACGGGUUACGUAAACC